ACGUUGCCGCACGGAGACACGAAGCUGUCGGUCUGAUAUUCAUGAACUUUGGAACCUGGAUUAAAAAUGAUACUGAUUUCACAAGACGCGGAAUCCGAGUGGACGCCCAGCCUGAUCAAAGAAACGUGUGGAUCCGACUGAAAUUGAGCCAGUGUUCAUCGAGGACUAGUUUGGUGCCUUGUAGUCGACCGACGAGUGAUGCCAAGUAGGCUGCGGGAGCGCCAUGUUUGAAAUUGCUGCGUUGGUCAUUCUAGCAGCACACAAGGAGAGACCCGACCAUGGCCUCUCAGCAGCGGUUUGUUUGGUUGCUGGCGUCCCUGAAACAUUUGAGAGAUACACUGGCAUCUGGAGCUAGCAGUUCGUCAGGCCUAUGGCGGCUUGUACUUGACCGACGAGUAAGCCUCAGUGAUGCCAAGUAGGCCGCGGGAGCGCCAUGUUUGAAAUCGCUGCGUUGGUUAUUCGAGCAGUACUCAAGGAGAGAUCCGACCAUGGCCUCUUAGCGGCGGUUUGUUUGGUUGCUGGCGUCCCUGAAACAUUUGAGGAUAUAUAAUGGCAUCUGGAGUGAGCAGUUGAUCGAUUAUGGAUUCCCUUCAAUCAAGCUGAGGAUUCCCUUCAAUCAAGCUGAGGAUUCCCUUCAAUCAAGCUGAGGAUUCCCUUCAUUGAAGCUGAGGAUCGCUUCCGUCAAGCUGAGGAAUCGCUACAAGGUGCCUGGCGGACCCCGCCCAACCCAUCAAAGGUUGGUUAAGUCAAAGAACUGUUCCAAUGGCGGGUCCAGAAGACAUCUCAGGGUAGGAGCUGUUGCGGGUUUUGCUAUGCUACGCUGCUGAUGCUGUUGAAGGCCAACGCUAGGCCUCUUGGUGUGCUGGUUUGGUUUGAUUCUCUGCUGAGAGUCAGUGAGCUGAGAAGGAUUCUGCUGUUUUAAUCCUUCUGUCAUUGGGUUUUUAGUGGUGUUUGUAGCAGUUGCUGUGGUCUUGUGACCUGUGAAGGUUUGGGUUUAACUAGACUCUGAAGCUCCUGGCUUAAAGUCAGUUGUGAUGUGAGAUAAAGAUGGCUGCCAAUUAUUUGGCAAAUACAAUUUAGAGGUUUUAGGAAGUGAUUCAGCUUAGACGUUAUAAACCUUGAUAACAUACCUACUUAUUAGUAACAAUGUAAUGUGGCUAUGUUGACAUUAAUAUAGCUCCAUCAGGAUAAUAUUUAUCUUUCCAAUGACUAUCAAAUAUAUUUUUGGGUAAAGAUGAGGUCUUUAU